rnacentral:lncRNA from 1 species
GGGAGUCUUGUUUUUGAUUGUGAGGUAAGCUAAUCGCAAAUGAAGUCAUCACCACAGCGCGAGCGAUGCAAUGUACCUGGGGCGUUUCGGCAUAGCCGACGGUAAAAGGCGUCCGCGAAUAUCAAAUCACACGAGUGUCAAAUUCUCUGCCUUAAACAUUUAUCAAUCUAUUCCAUUAACGCUUUAACGACGUGUGCCGCAGGUGGACGACAUAUCUAACACGCGGGACAUCGUGUUGCCUACUCCGCGCAGUAGAGAAAAGCUAUCCCAGGAUAAGGAGAAGAUCAUUCAUUUUAGCUCACCUGAGAACUCCUACACGAUGAAGGUAUGGGAGAUGCUUGCCGCAUGCGUUGCGGCAAGGUACACCGGCGGCGAGUGUGGCCAAAGAGCAUAUGCCAAGGAUUCGUUAGGACGGGUCUUUUGAUCUUGCUUAGAAGCUGCUCACCUGUUAUUCACUGUUAUGACAUGCUGAGUAUGGCAAGCUCAUGGCUGAUAUAGUCGCGAAGUGUUGUAACCAACGGGGUUUGGACUGCCCUUUAGCUUAACUACAGAUCUGCUGCCUGUGGAUGCAUACUAGAU